GUUUGCAAUUUGAUGGUGCACAAUUAAAAAGUGCCAACCGCAGAUCUUACCGUAUCCUAUAAAAUAAUGAUUGACUCAAAUCACUUUCUGUAAGGAAAUGGGUUCAUCAACUGGUUAAAAUGGGACCCCAACUCAGAUUGAUCGGACCUUAUCUUUAGUGAUUUUUACUGGAGAUUAGAGGGAUGAGCCAGGCCAAGGCAGCAGUGCAACACCAAGGCGACUCUAAGGAUCCCAAUAGCAACCUAUUGAUACGGAUCCUUCCCAUAAAAAAUAAGAUUAAUAUCGAGUGAGCCGAUGGCUCACAUAUCAAAUAUUAUACUGAUAAGAACAGAUACUACACUUGAUCUUAGCCAAAAGGCCGAGAAAGAGGAAGGCCAACUGCUUGCUGGCUGGGAGCUGUAUGAGCGGUAACGUCCACGUACGGCUCCGUGAGAAGGGCGGUGGACAGAAAUGGCCUUGUUGUACCUUACUCUCG